GCCCUGAUGGCUCAGUUGGUUAGAGCGCAGGUCUCAUACUAUCUGUGUGACCGGUAUGGUUACCGGGCAAUCCUGAGGUCGCAAGUUCGAACCUUGCUCAGGGCA
rnacentral:tRNA from 1 species